GCUCCGUUGGUGAACCAGCGGAGGGAUCAUUACCGAGUUUUCUACUCCCAAACCCCUGUGAACUUAUACCUUUACCGUUGCUUCGGCGGGUUAACGCCCCGGAAAGGCCCCCGAAAGGGAGCCGCCCCGGAACCAGGCGCCCGCCGGGGGACCCAAACUCUUGUAUUUUCUUACCUAGCAUGUCUGAGUGGAAUCAUAAACAAAUGAAUCAAAACUUUCAACAACGGAUCUCUUGGUUCUG
rnacentral:misc_RNA from 1 species